CGCAAAACGAAACGGUUCGCUAAACGGCACGCCUGCAAAGUGCAUAAAAGCCCGCACUAUUAUUAUUUUUGUUUGAAUUUUGAUUUAUAUUAUUUGCUUGUGUUCGUGUUGUUGCUGCUGCUGCUGCUGCUGCUGCCCAAAAGCAUGACAAUUUAUGGACUGCUGGUGCAAAUCAUAAUCAUCUGCAAUUAGAAAACUGAACUGAACCGAGCUGAACUGAACUGAACUGAGCGGAGCGGAACUGAACGUGACGGAACGAAAGGACAGGGCACGGAACUGGUUCGCAAUGGCGCCGCCCGCUGAGCAGCCGGAGGAUGAUUUUGUUACCAAGAUACCUUCAAUAAUUGGAUUCUUGAACUUGGACUAAUUGGCAAUUGAACUUUUGGGCCGCGGACGUGCUGGAAGCAUAAUAAAUAAAUUAAUUAAGGCUGAAUAUGGGCGCGCUGCAAGGUCUAUAUAUACAUAUACAACUUUUUUUUGUGGAAUAAAUGUAAUAAAUUAAUGAAAAA